ACAUUGCUGGUGACACUCCUUCAUCGAAUCGCCUCUUUGAUGCGAUUGCUAGUCACUGUGUACCAGUCAUCAUUAGUGAUGAAAUAGAGCUCCCCUAUGAAGAUAUUCUUGACUAUUCAGAGUUCUGCAUAUUUGUUCGUACCUCAGAUGCUCUCAAAGAAAUUAUGAAGAUAUUCUUGACUACUCAGAGUUCUGCAUAUUUGUUCGUACCUCAGAUGCUCUCAAAGAAAAAUUCCUCAUAAACCUCAUUAGAAGUAUUAAGAAAGAAGAGUGGACUAGAAUGUGGGCUAGGUUAAAGGAGGUUGA
rnacentral:lncRNA from 1 species